AGGUUGUUUAAUUUUUAAGGUCUGGUAGAGAUGCUAUUUUCUGAUAAUGGGCUUCAAAGUGAAGACAACUGAGAAUCAAGAAAGGAAUAGAGGACAGGAUACAGUAACUAUUCAGAUAUAUCUUUCUUCCUUGUGCAAAUAACCACAAACUCCCAGGUUGAUAUAGAUAUCAGGGCCCAUCAGGAGUUUUAACAGAAGCCAUGACCAGCUUAAAUCCUUGUUCUGUCAUUUACUAGUUGUGUGACUUGAAUCUACUGUACCUGUUAACUCUGAAAAUAAUGCAUAGCUGACUUGUAAUGAAGAUUAACUGAAUUAGUAUGUAUGGAAUACUGAACACGCUGCCCAACACAGGAAAGGUCCCAAAACAUGUUUUGGUCCUUCUAACAAGAACACAGAGCAGACCACCACAGAUGGAAGGCAGACCAAGAAAACAUUCAUGA
rnacentral:lncRNA from 1 species